rnacentral:lncRNA from 1 species
AUGAAUGAAGCAUUUUUCAUUUAAACACAAGUGCAUUUACAAGAAGUUCCUAGUUUACAUCACUCUCCAACAAUAAUGAACUUAGCUCUCCAUUAAUGGAGAGCUUGAGCUUACAAUGGAAUGAAAAUGGUGAAGAAGAAGACCCAAGGAAGAAGAUGGGUGAGUUCCCACAGCCCAAAACUUGCUCCAAAAGGUCCAAAACGAUGCUCCAAAGCUUCAGCCACCAAGAGUCUUUUGCCCUCGAAAACUGUGUGCUAUUUAUAGUUCUAGGGUGCCAACUCAGCAAAUAAAAUUGCGCCCAGCGCCCCCUUCUGGGGUGCCCAGGCGUGACAAACCAGUGA